CACACACACACACACACACACACACACCCUGCAUGAUAAAGGUGACCUGAUGGCUUUGAUUUCAGCAGAUUGAUUGAACCAGGAAGAGACAGAGACGGCGAGAGGUCAGCGUUCCCAGACCAUACCAGACCUGCUGACUAUACUGUAAAAAAUUUCCGUAAAAAUACGGUACAAUGUACCAUAUAAAUGUGAAGGAUUUUUUUUUCCGUAUUUGUCUUUUACGCCUUUUACGGGUCUUUUACCCUUAUUUUGAAUUACGCGUUGCAUUGUGGGAACAAGAUCCCGGCAGCGCGAAAAGUUUAAGACGCAUCCGCCAUUACACACACGCUGAUGACCGCGGGCAAAGUUGCUUUUUAGAGCCGGAUUUCGGGUGUGUGGAAGCCAUUCUGACACUUAUGUGGUAAAACUUAAACUUAAAAACGAAAAUUAUGUUUUGCUUGAUGUCAAAAAGCUGUUAACGUAACGUUAUUUUUAGUUACCAUCUGGCAUUAGGCAAAUGAAUGUCGGAGCCGUCACGUUUAUCAUUUUAUGCAUAUCGUCACACAUUGAAAGAUUUAGUUAAGACUCGUGGAGGUUCUCGAUUGUAGUGUCCUUGUUGUUGUUGUUGUAAUGGGCUUAUUUAGUUUUAUUUGUCGUGAUGCGGUUUAUUUCUUGCCGAGCGAAUCCGUUAGCAGCUAACCAGUUGUGAUAGUUCUAACGUUAGCUAGCUGCUAGUGUUUAGAGCAAUUUAAUGCCUUCAAACAAAAGCAACCAGAGGAAUCGUCAAGAAAAGUAAACGCCAUUGACUUGCUUGAUUUGAAAGGCAUGAAGACACAACGUGUAUUUUGUAUUCAGACUGUGUGUGAAUAUGCAGUAACUUAACCGGUACAGCUGGAUCAACCAGCACCUUUUCUGCAAAAUGAGGACUUUUCUGCUGUAGUUUAUAUCCCAAACACCACCUGCAUGCGUCUUAUGGGGUUGCUGUCAUUCAAGAAGUUAUUGACCACAUCUCCUAUUGAGGCAGUAAGAUGCAAAAUACCUGAAGAAAAUGGCACUUAUCCUGGAGUUCAUAUAAAGAAAUCUGGAACGAAGGUUGAAAAGGCUGAGAUGAAGGAAAUGUCCCCAUUCCUCCAAAACUGCUGAAGUUCCUGUAUGAA